GCUGGGUGUGGUGGUACACACCUGUAGUCCCAGCUCCGUAGGAAGCUGAGGCAAGAGGACUGCUUGAGCCCAGGAGUUUGAGGCUUGCAUGGGCAACAUACUGAGACCUUGUUUCAA
rnacentral:sRNA from 1 species